ensembl:lncRNA
GAUGGCAGCAACACUGACUGUGCAUCCAAAUCUGGGGUUUGCCCUCUUGACUUGGGUGGGUAGGCUUUGAAUAAUUUCUUGGCUAAGAGCUCAUCAAAUUGGUCCUGAAAACUUAAAAAAGUGAAAAAAUCUACCUUCUUUCAGGCAUGUGAUCUCAAUGUCUGUGAUCUUCCUCCUGGAAAGGCAUUUCUUGGCUCAGGUCUCUCUGGGCUGGCACUGAAGUAUCCUUUGUCCUUUUGUGUGGUUUGUAAUGCUUGGGAAAUGGUGCUGGAGGCAAAGUUUGAUUGCUGGUGUAUUUUGUACUUCAGGCUGUGUUCUGAAGCCCAGGAGAUCAGCACUGAAUGUUCUUUUUGUCACAUUCCUCCCUACCUAUGUCAGCCUUCAGAGCAGGGAGUACCAGCACUGACCAUAAAACUGGGAAACACCAUUUCCAUGGCACACCACACCAGGAGAGUGGGUGAGACAAUGGAGUCUGCCCAAAUCUUUUACCAGCAUGGAAGAAGAGGAUGAGCAUCCAGUUCUCUGCUUUAAGAGGAGACUGUAAAGGUACCAGAUGAGUGGGAAAGGCAAAAAGCAUCAGGCAGUAGAAGACCUUAGUUUCUAGUUCAAAUGAAAAUAGCACUACAUGAACUAUAAGGGUUUCAGGUAAAUGAAGCAGCAGGAGUUUGAUUGUGAUGGCAGGUGUUUGGAAGAGCUAUUAAAUUACUCUAGCUGGUUCCACAUCAGUAAAAAAAAAAGUGAUUGAUUUUGAGGACUGCAAAACCUGUAUUGUAAAGCUAAUAAGGUUUCAAGAAAAAUACAGGACUGCAGGAACAGAGAGGAAAAAAAAAGUGGAGGAAAACUUAUUAGUUAUGCCUGACAACUGGAGGGAUAGACCAGCCUCUCUCUAGCAGACACGGAAUCAAGUUAGUAAUCUUUUUCUUGACUUCUGUGCCUGUACAUAGGAGGAAUUCUGCUGAAAAUAUGCUGUUUUCAGCAGAAAGUGAAGAGCUGCAUUUGAAUCAUCUUUGUAGGUAGCCCAAAAAAAUUACUUGUGAGCAUUUUCAGUAUUAGUCUUUCCUGAAGGUCCAGAGAGGAGUUGGAGGGCAGACACCAGUUUCAUACUCUGCUCAUCCUUCCCUUGCUUGCACAGUUGCACCAAGGAAAACCAAAAUACUGCCCUACUCCAGCAGCAGUGCUUUAUGCUCUUUCCUACUCCACCAUGUCUCUCUUAUUUAAAUGUGGCGAGUGAAAAUCCUGCUCAAUAAUACGUGUCUCACAAACGGAGGAAAACUACGUGAUGCAUAAAGGGACUUUCAGAAAAAGAAUGUAAUUUCUCCUGGAAAUUCAUUGUCUUUUAAUAAAACAACCCUGGGCUUUUUAAACA